ACUCGUUUACAAGGGUUCGUACGAGAUGAUAGUAAAUGGAUGUAGCUUUAAGGAAGGAGUCUCCAGUGAGAGGUGAAGCUGUAAAGCUUUGUAAAGUUUCGCAUCAUGGGGAAAGUCUGAGGCUGAGACGGUGCAAGUGAAGCAGUGCCAGUGGUUCAGAUCACCGGCCAUCCCUGGUGACUCAUUAGGAAGCGAGGCAUCAGCAGAAAAAAAAAAUAGCAGUGAACUGGCACAUUCGAAAGCCGCACGGCACCGUGGGUAAUAUUUACCCAGCAUCUGGAGCUGCCUGCAAUCCACGGAAGAGCAGAGUAAGAGAGGAAGGAAAAACACACUGACGAUUAUGAGCAAAAGAUGAAGAGACGACGGCUCUGUCUCCCACGGGGCCUUAAGACUGGAGAGCAGCUGGAGACAAACAGAGGGAGAUGGCUUUCAGAGUUUUGAGAUUACCGGCAGAAAUUUCUAGAUGGAGACUGUAAGAUGCCGGACAUUCCAAACACACUUUGCUGUCCAAAAACUUACACACGGGAAGACGUGAAGAAAAAAAAACAGGAAAGGUGUUCAAACUUUUCACUUCAGACAUCAAAUAUGUACAUCGUCGCUUUACCUCCACCUUCUCCCUCUCUCUCCAUUCUCCUUCACCUCAGGCUCCAUCUAACAUCUCAUCGGCUCUGUUGAAACCACCGCCACACUACCGGCUUCUUGCCUUCAGCAGACUCGUGUUUCAAAUCCGUUUAUCGCAUCAGACUCUGAAGAGGCUCGAGGAAGAAGAGGCAAAAUGCUCAUACACGCACUGUACCUGAUAACUACAAGUAGUCUGACUCAUUCAUCUGGCCAAGUAUCUAAAGAGCACACAUCUGAGCAGUUAAUGUUUAGGGUUAAGGUUGAAGUCUUGAUCCGUGGCUCAUCAGUGGCUCUCUGGUGUCCCUGGGAUUUAACCUCGCAGCCUUCCGGUCACGGGCUCUGAAUCUUAACUCGCUGUUCUUUAAAGCCCCCUGAUCAUGUAACUCUAAACCAUUAAAAUAUAAUAAAUGAUGAAUAAUAAUUUGAUGAGUUUUAAUGCCCUGGAAAUCCAGGAACAUCUCAACACCUUUAACCUCAUUAAAAAUGGA